rnacentral:rRNA from 1 species
UACGUAGGUGGCGAGCGUUGUCCGGAAUUACUGGGUGUAAAGGGCGCGUAGGCGGGGAUGCAAGUCAGAUGUGAAAUACUGAGGCUUAACCUCAGGGCUGCAACUGAAACUGCGUUUCUUGAGUGUCGGAGAGGGAAGUGGAAUUCCUAGUGUAGCGGUGAAAUGCGUAGAUAUUAGGAGGAACACCAGUGGCGAAGGCGACUUUCUGGACGAUAACUGACGCUGAGGCGCGAAAGCGUGGGGAGCAAACAGGAUUAGAUACC